UCAAGCGAACAAGUGCAUGUGGUGGAUGCCUUGGCGAUCACAGGCGAUGAAGGACGCGGUAGCCUGCGAAAAGCUACGGGGAGCUGGCAAACGAGCUUUGAUCCGUAGAUGUCCGAAUGGGGAAACCCACUCCUUAUGGAGUAUCCAUGGCUGAAUACAUAGGCCAUGUGAAGCGAACGCGGUGAACUGAAACAUCUAAGUAACCGCAGGAAAAGAAAUCAACCGAGAUUCCCAAAGUAGUGGCGAGCGAAAUGGGAUGAGCCUUGCACUCUUUAUUUGUAUUGUUAGCCGAACGCUCUGGAAAGUGCGGCCAUAGCAGGUGAUAGCCCUGUAGGCGAAAACAGUAUGAAAGAACUAGGUGUGCGACAAGUAGGGCGGGACACGUGAAAUCCUGUCUGAAGAUGGGGGGACCAUCCUCCAAGGCUAAAUACUCGUGAUCGACCGAUAGUGAACCAGUACCGUGAGGGAAAGGCGAAAAGAACCCCGGGAGGGGAGUGAAAUAGAUCCUGAAACCGCAUGCAUACAAACAGUCGGAGCCUCGUAAGGGGUGACGGCGUACCUUUUGUAUAAUGGGUCAGCGACUUACGUUCAGUAGCAAGCUUAACCGUAUAGGGCAGGCGUAGCGAAAGCGAGUCCGAAUAGGGCGUUCAGUUGCUGGGCGUAGACCCGAAACCAGGUGAUCUAUCCAUGGCCAGGAUGAAGGUGCGGUAACACGUACUGGAGGUCCGAACCCACUAACGUUGAAAAGUUAGGGGAUGAGCUGUGGAUAGGGGUGAAAGGCUAAACAAACCUGGAAAUAGCUGGUUCUCUCCGAAAACUAUUUAGGUAGUGCCUCGUGUCUCACCUUCGGGGGUAGAGCACUGUCAUGGUUGGGGGGUCUAUUGCAGAUUACCCCGCCAUAGCAAACUCCGAAUACCGAAGAGUGCAAUCACGGGAGACAGACAUCGGGUGCUAACGUCCGGUGUCAAGAGGGAAACAACCCAGACCGCCAGCUAAGGUCCCCAAAUAUGGCUAAGUGGGAAACGAAGUGGGAAGGCUAAAACAGUCAGGAGGUUGGCUUAGAAGCAGCCACCCUUUAAAGAAAGCGUAAUAGCUCACUGAUCGAGUCGUCCUGCGCGGAAGAUGUAACGGGGCUAAGCCAUAUACCGAAGCUGCGGAUGCGAGCUAGUCUCGCAUGGUAGGAGAGCGUUCCGUAAGCCUGCGAAGGUGCCUUGUAAAGGGUGCUGGAGGUAUCGGAAGUGCGAAUGCUGACAUGAGUAGCGAUAAAGGGGGUGAAAGGCCCCCUCGCCGUAAGCCCAAGGUUUCCUACGCAACGUUCAUCGGCGUAGGGUGAGUCGGCCCCUAAGGCGAGGCAGAAAUGCGUAGCUGAUGGGAAGCAGGUCAAUAUUCCUGCACCGUCGUUAGAUGCGAUGGGGGGACGGAUCGCGGAAGGUUGUCCGGGUGUUGGAAGUCCCGGUCGCUGCAUUGGAGAAGGCGCUUAGGCAAAUCCGGGCGCAGGAUUCAAGGGUGUGGCGCGAGCUCCCUCGGGAGCGAAGCAAUUGGAAGUGGUUCCAAGAAAAGCCUCUAAGCUUCAGUCUAACGAUGACCGUACCGCAAACCGACACAGGUGGGCGAGAUGAGUAUUCUAAGGCGCUUGAGAGAACUCGGGAGAAGGAACUCGGCAAAUUGGUACCGUAACUUCGGGAUAAGGUACGCCCUUGUAGCUUGACUGGCCUGCGCCAGGAGGGUGAAGGGGUUGCAAUAAACUGGUGGCUGCGACUGUUUAAUAAAAACACAGCACUCUGCAAACACGAAAGUGGACGUAUAGGGUGUGACGCCUGCCCGGUGCCGGAAGAUUAAAUGAUGGGGUGCAAGCUCUUGAUUGAAGUCCCGGUAAACGGCGGCCGUAACUAUAACGGUCCUAAGGUAGCGAAAUUCCUUGUCGGGUAAGUUCCGACCUGCACGAAUGGCGUAACGAUGGCCACACUGUCUCCUCCCGAGACUCAGCGAAGUUGAAGUGUUUGUGAUGAUGCAAUCUACCCGCGGCUAGACGGAAAGACCCCAUGAACCUUUACUGUAGCUUUGCAUUGGACUUUGAACCGAUCUGUGUAGGAUAGGUGGGAGGCUAUGAAACCGGAACGCCAGUUUCGGUGGAGCCGUCCUUGAAAUACCACCCUGGUUUGUUUGAGGUUCUAACCUUGGCCCGUGAUCCGGGUCGGGGACAGUGCAUGGUAGGCAGUUUGACUGGGGCGGUCUCCUCCCAAAGCGUAACGGAGGAGUACGAAGGUACGCUAGGUACGGUCGGAAAUCGUGCUGAUAGUGCAAUGGCAUAAGCGUGCUUAACUGCGAGACCGACAAGUCGAGCAGGUGCGAAAGCAGGUCAUAGUGAUCCGGUGGUUCUGUAUGGAAGGGCCAUCGCUCAACGGAUAAAAGGUACUCUGGGGAUAACAGGCUGAUACCGCCCAAGAGUUCAUAUCGACGGCGGUGUUUGGCACCUCGAUGUCGGCUCAUCUCAUCCUGGGGCUGUAGCCGGUCCCAAGGGUAUGGCUGUUCGCCAUUUAAAGAGGUACGUGAGCUGGGUUUAAAACGUCGUGAGACAGUUUGGUCCCUAUCUGCCGUGGGCGUUGGAUAUUUGAAGGGGGCUGCUCCUAGUACGAGAGGACCGGAGUGGACGAACCUCUGGUGUACCGGUUGUGACGCCAGUCGCAUCGCCGGGUAGCUAUGUUCGGAAGAGAUAACCGCUGAAAGCAUCUAAGCGGGAAACUCGCCUUAAGAUGAGAUAUCCCUGGAGGCUUGACCUCCUUGAAGGGUCGUUCGAGACCAGGACGUUGAUAGGUCGGGUGUGUAAGCGCAGUAAUGCGUUCAGCUAACCGAUACUAAUUGCCCGUAAGGCUUGAUCCU
rnacentral:rRNA from 1 species